AACGCUUUAAUAACCGUGUCGUGUUUGUGUGUGCGUAUACGUGUGCAUGUGGUAACACGCGAGUGUCUUCCCAUCGCGAAAUUCAUUAUUCGGUUCCCGUUCCGUGACCUCGUUCCUCGAUCGUAAAUAUCGUCUAGAACCCCCUCGAACCUCGAAUCUUCCUUCGUCCAUGUCGAUCGACCGAUGGAAGUCUUAACGAACUGUUCAAAGACUCGAAAUUUGUAAACAACAGCAGCAUCAGCAGCACCGGCAGCACCAGCAACGAAGUACACCCCUCCACCAGGUCCCGCAGGCCGUUUCUUCUCCUCUCGUCUCUUCUCUCUGGUCACUCUCUUCUCUUACCUCGCUAGUGGUUAGUCUUGGCUCCCUCUUUUCUCCCUCUAGCCUUCUCGCUCUCUCCUGUCCACGUACCUUGUCUCUAGCGCUCUCUCCUUCUCCCUCCGCU
rnacentral:misc_RNA from 1 species